AGAGUUUGAUCAUGGCUCAGGACGAACGCUGGCGGCGUGCUUAACACAUGCAAGUCGAACGAGAACUUAGAGAUAUUCUUUUAGAUUAUCAUUAAGGGAAAGUGGCGAACGGGUGAGUAACGCGUGGGCAACAUGCCCUUCACAGGGGGAUAACAUCGGGAAACCGAUGCUAAUACCGCAUAAACCGGCAGUAUAGCAUUAUACAAUCGGCAAAGGAGUAAUCCGGUGAAGGAGUGGCCCGCGUCCAAUUAGCUAGAUGGUGAGGUAAAAGCUUACCAUGGCGACGAUUGGUAGCCGGACUGAGAGGUUGACCGGCCACAUUGGGACUGAGACACGGCCCAGACUCCUACGGGAGGCAGCAGUGGGGAAUAUUGCACAAUGGGGGAAACCCUGAUGCAGCGACGCCGCGUGAAGGAAGAAGGCUUUCGGGUUGUAAACUUCUUUGAUUAGGGACGAAGAAAGUGACGGUACCUAAAAAACAAGCCACGGCUAACUACGUGCCAGCAGCCGCGGUAAUACGUAGGUGGCGAGCGUUGUCCGGAAUUACUGGGUGUAAAGGGCGUGUAGGCGGGAAAGUAAGUCAGAUGUGAAAGCCCAGAGCUUAACUUUGGGAUUGCAUCUGAAACUACUUUUCUUGAGUACUGGAGAGGGAAGCGGAAUUCCUAGUGUAGCGGUGAAAUGCGUA
rnacentral:rRNA from 1 species